rnacentral:rRNA from 1 species
ACGCACGCUGGCGGCGUGCUUCACCCAUGCAAGUCGAACGGAAAGGCCCUGCUUUUGUGGGGUGCUCGAGUGGCGAACGGGUGAGUAACACGUGAGUAACCUGCCCUUGACUUUGGGAUAACUUCAGGAAACCGGGGUUAAUACCGGUUAGGAGCACCUGCUGCAUGGUGGGGGCUGGGAAGUUUCGGCGGUGGGGGUUGGACUCGCGGCUUAUCAGCUUGGUGGUGGGGUAGUGGCUUACCAAGGCUUUGACGGGUAGCCGACCUGAGGGGGUGACCAGGCACAAUGGGACUGCGAGACGGCCCAGACUCCUACGGGAGGCAGCAGUGGGGAGUAUUACACAAUGGGCGGAAGCCUGAGGCAGCAGCGCCGCGUGCGGGAAGACGGCCUUCGGGUUGUGAACCGCUUUCGCCUGUGACGAAGCGGGAGUGACGGUACUGGGUGAAGAAGCACCGGCUAACUACGUG